CAGGUCACCAAGCCAAAGAAGGCUGGUAUGUCUGCAUAUUUAUAUGAAUAAACUGCUGGCUGUGCUGCUCCUCAGAGCUCCUAAGCACCCCAGGAAACAAUGCACUGCAGUCAAUGAACCAAUACCACCACCACUGCUGAAGAUCCAAUUCAUGUCCUGUCUGACAUCAUUCAAUGAAACAAGCCUAAGAUUGCAGCCUUCCUGGUUCAAACUGGGACUAAAAAAUAAACCAUGCUUUUAAGAGGAACCAGGAAGAGAGGAACGCCAUAGAAGAAAAUGCUUGAUGAAUUGAGAGGAGGAGAAUGUCAUAUGGAUGGUGAAAAAAUACUGGUUGGGAAUCACUGAUAUAGAUCUGAGUACUUUGAGGAGAAUAUGUGCCCCAUCUGGAACAAUUCUGUUAGUGUCUCAACUAAUAACAAAUACACUUGUCCCAAAGCAACAUUUGUUUG